ACCCGCUGCCAGGGCUCCAGUCAAGGAACUCCUUGCAUUGCUCUAAACACAUCCUAGGGGCUCCUGCCCCCCUCAACAUGCCAGCAUGCCUGGAUCCCUAAGAUCAGUGAGGUUUCCAGACUUCCUCCGUCUUUUUGUCCUGCACGAAAGCGCUUUGCUGGGUGCGCAAGUGUGCGUGUGAGGAGCGGAGAGGAGCGCCGGGAGGGCACGAUGCGAGGAUGGAUUUGGCUGCAUAGGAUCGAUGUAAAUGUCUCCUCAGGCCUCCCUCUACCUCGGGCUACACUACCAAGUGUCCUUCAUCUUCUCCCGGCGAACCCAGUAAAGGCUCAAGGCUCCUGGAGCUGGAACUGGCUCCCCUCCGAGUACAGCGGGAUCAAAACCUGCCUCCAAAGCGGGACCGGCUCGGGGACGAGCCCCACAGUAGCGCUGCUGUGGAGAUUGGGACAAUAG
rnacentral:lncRNA from 1 species